CCUACGGGAGGUAGCAGUGGGGAAUAUUGGACAAUGGGCGAAAGCCUGAUCCAGCCAUGCCGCGUGUGUGAAGAAGGUCUUCGGAUUGUAAAGCACUUUAAGUUGGGAGGAAGGGCAGUAAGCGAAUACCUUGCUGUUUUGACGUUACCAACAGAAUAAGCACCGGCUAACUCUGUGCCAGCAGCCGCGGUAAUACAGAGGGUGCGAGCGUUAAUCGGAAUUACUGGGCGUAAAGCGCGCGUAGGUGGUUCGUUAAGUUGGAUGUGAAAGCCCCGGGCUCAACCUGGGAACUGCAUCCAAAACUGGCGAGCUAGAGUAGGGCAGAGGGUGGUGGAAUUUCCUGUGUAGCGGUGAAAUGCGUAGAUAUAGGAAGGAACACCAGUGGCGAAGGCGACCACCUGGGCUCAUACUGACACUGAGGUGCGAAAGCGUGGGGAGCAAACAGGAUUAGAUACCCUAGUAGUC
rnacentral:rRNA from 1 species